UUCCUACGGGGGGCUGCAGUAGGGAAUCUUGCGCAAUGGGCGAAAGCCUGACGCAGCCAUGCCGCGUGAAUGAUGAAGGUCUUAGGAUUGUAAAAUUCUUUCACCGGGGACGAUAAUGACGGUACCCGGAGAAGAAGCUCCGGCUAACUUCGUGCCAGCAGCCGCGGUAAUACGAAGGGGGCUAGCGUUGCUCGGAAUUACUGGGCGUAAAGGGCGCGUAGGCGGAUAGUUAAGUCAGAGGUGAAAGCCCAGGGCUCAACCUUGGAACUGCCUUUGAUACUGGCUGUCUUGAGUUCGGGAGAGGUGAGUGGAAUGCCGAGUGUAGAGGUGAAAUUCGUAGAUAUUCGGCGGAACACCAGUGGCGAAGGCGACUCACUGGCCCGAUACUGACGCUGAGGCGCGAAAGCGUGGGGAGCAAACAGGAUUAGAUACCCGUGUAGUCCC
rnacentral:rRNA from 1 species